AACGAACGCUGGCGGCAUGCCUUACACAUGCAAGUCGAACGGCAGCGCGGGAGCAAUCCUGGCGGCGAGUGGCGAACGGGUGAGUAAUAUAUCGGAACGUGCCUAGUAGUGGGGGAUAGCCCGGCGAAAGCCGGAUUAAUACCGCAUACGACCUACGGGUGAAAGGGGGGGAUCGCAAGACCUCUCGCUAUUGGAGCGGCGGAUAUCAGAUUAGGUAGUUGGUGGGGUAAAGGCCUACCAAGCCUGCGAUCUGUAGUUGGUCUGAGAGGACGACCAGCCACACUGGGACUGAGACACGGCCCAGACUCCUACGGGAGGCAGCAGUGGGGAAUUUUGGACAAUGGGCGCAAGCCUGAUCCAGCAAUGCCGCGUGCAGGAAGAAGGCCUUCGGGUUGUAAACUGCUUUUGUCAGGGAAGAAAUCCUCUGGGUUAAUACCUCGGGGGGAUGACGGUACCUGAAGAAUAAGCACCGGCUAACUACGUGCCAGCCGCCGCAGUAACAC
rnacentral:rRNA from 1 species